GUCCACAGCCAUGCUACCCUGAAUGCGCUGACCUCUUAACCUCAGAAGCUAGGCAGGGUCAGGCCUGGUUAGUACUUGAGUGGGAGACAACCUGGGAAGACUGGGUAUUGUAGGCU
rnacentral:rRNA from 1 species